rnacentral:rRNA from 1 species
CAAUAGCGUAUAUUAAAGUUGUUGCAGUUAAAAAGCUCGUAGUUGGAUCUGUGGUGUGCGGUGGGCUCCGGGCACUUGUUGUCUGAGUAGCUCGCCGCUGCCAUCCUUGGGUGGAACCUGUGUGGCAUUAGGUUGUCGUGCAGGGGAUGCCCAUCGUUUACUGUGAAAAAUUAGAGUGUUCAAAGCAGGCUUAUGCCGUUGAAUAUAUUAGCAUGGAAUAAUGAGAUAGGACUUUUUCGCUAUUUUGUUGGUUUGCGCGAAGAGGUAAUGAUUAAUAGGGACAGUUGGGGGUAUUCGUAUUCCAUUGUCAGAGGUGAAAUUCUUGGAUUUUUGGAAGACGAACUACUGCGAAAGCAUUUACCAAGGAUGUUUUCAUUAA